rfam:Babesia bovis strain T2Bo chromosome 2, whole genome shotgun sequence.
UUUAAGGCUUCACUUGAAGCCAUCAAAUACUUUAAUUUAAUAUUGCU